UACAGAGGUCUCAAGCGUUGUUCGGAUUCAUUGGGCGUAAAGGGUGCGUAGGUGGCGCUGUAAGUCAGGUGUGAAAUUUCGGAGCUUAACUCCGAAACUGCAUUUGAUACUGCGGUGCUCGAGGACUGGAGAGGAGACUGGAAUUUACGGUGUAGCAGUGAAAUGCGUAGAGAUCGUAAGGAAGACCAGUGGCGAAGGCGGGUCUCUGGACAGUUCCUGACACUGAGGCACGGAAGGCCAGGGGGAGCAAACGGG
rnacentral:rRNA from 1 species